UGCUGCUGUAGGCCCUCCUUGGUUUGGGGACAGAUCUAGGUGCUGCUGUAGGCCCUCCUUGGUUUGGGGACAGAUCUAGGUGCUGCUGUAGGCCCUCCUUGGUUGGGGACAGAUCUAGGUGUUGCUGUAGGCCCUCCUUGGUUGGGGACAGAUCUAGGUGCUGCUGUAGGCCCUCCUUGGUUUGGGGACAGAUCUAGGUGCUGCUGUAGGCCCUCCUUGGUUGGGGACAGAUCUAGGUGCUGCUGUAGGCCCUCCUUGGUUUGGGGACAGAAGCACCAGAUCAUCAGCGAACAGUAGACAUUUGACUUUAGAUUCUAGACACUCAUGCCAAAUUGAGUCAAAAGGUUAUGAAAUCACCAAAGCAUGAAAAG
rnacentral:lncRNA from 1 species